CUUCUUGUAGGUAUAUGCCAUCUUUCCUCUGAACUUAAACAAAAACCACGAUAUCUUUCACCUGAACUGCGUUAAAAUGACUCAAAAAAUCCGAGUGGCCGACAAUGGGUUAAUGUCACUAAGUCUUUCGCGCACUGAGGGACAGUGUGACCGCGCUGUCUGACCAUCAGAAAUAUACCGUCUAAUUUUUUAAAUAUACCGUAAAUAUACCGAUGAAAAUCAGAUGACUAAUUUUUGAUAUAGUGUUAUCAACUAAACAUAAAAUUUGAUCCAAUUGAUGAAUCAAUUUUCUGCAAGAAAGUGGAACUAGAACUAGUCGUUCGCGCAUUGUGAGUCAACAGCGGGUGUCAGAGCAGUGCAGCUAGAUAAGUAGCAGUAGAGCAGGCAGCGCCCUCUAGCAUUACACAUCAGAACAUGUCGAAUGUACUGUAAAAAGACACUGGGACAAAGCCAGCGGCGGAAUAAUCCAAUUAUAUUAGAGCCACCACAAAACUGAAGCCCGCUAAGGAACUGACCCUCCGACUGCUCCAUGCCGAGUUCUGUUCGCUUUUUGGAUUUCUGGAUUGGACGCUGGACGCCUCAUUAGCACGCCCCGUCCCUGAUUAAAAACCGCCCCUUAAUCGAUAUUUAUGGCCACCAGCCAUGAGUAAUUCAAAUAGACGACGCUCAUUAGAGGCCAAGGCGAGGAGCCAAUGGCAUUAAAAUUGUUUAGCCGGCAAUCCGGUUCCAGGGAAAACGCUCAUUACAACACGACUCCCAAAUUGAUUUUAAUUGGACGUGUGUUUAAUAGUGUAAAAAUUGAUGUACAUUGAGAGCUUAACAGAUCGAAGGUGCAGAUUAUUUCAUUUUAAAUUCCGUGCCCAAAAAUCCAUCAAUGUGAUUGCUUUUCAUUAAUUAAGAACAAAGAGACAAACAGAAUUCAUAUGCAAAUACAUACCAAAUGAAGAUGUUAGCGAACAAGUUUUAGGCUAGGCGAAUUUUAAUUUUAUUCUCCAAUUAAUAUUUUAAGGAGACACGGGGCCAGAGAGAGAGAGAGAGAGAGAGAGGGAUGGAACAUAAUCUAUGCAAUGCACAGAACAGCACAAUGACAGAGACAACAACAGCAGAGACAGCAGACAAUCACAAUUAACGGAACUUUUCCCCACAUGUGACAUCUAUUCAAAUGUCCCCCCACAAAAAAGCGAAGUUAAUUCCUCGAUACGAAAAGAGG